GACGAACGCUGGCGGCGUGCCUAACACAUGCAAGUCGAGCGGGUUGAAGCGAGGGGUAACUCGAACUUCUACCUAGCGGCGGACGGGUGAGUAACGCGUGGGCAACCUGCCUCAAGGUCUGGGAUAACAGCUCGAAAGGGCUGCUAAUACCGGAUAUGCCUAUAGCCUCGCAUGGGGCUAUGAGCAAAGGGGAAACCCGCCUUGAGAUGGGCCCGCGUCCCAUCAGCUAGUUGGUGAGGUGAAGGCUCACCAAGGCGACGACGGGUAGCCGGCCUGAGAGGGUGACCGGCCACACUGGGACUGAGACACGGCCCAGACUCCUACGGGGGGCAGCAGUGGGGAAUCUUGCACAACGGGCGAAAGCCUGAUGCAGCGACGCCGCGUGAGCGAAGAAGGCCUUCGGGUUGUAAAGCUCUGUCUGGAGGGACGAAGAAAGUGACGGUACCUCCGGAGGAAGCCACGGCUAACUACGUG
rnacentral:rRNA from 1 species